UAACACCAGCGCCCCAAGUGGCGAUCGCGAUUAUUGGGCCUAAAGCGUCCGUAGCCGGACGGGUAAAUCCGCUGUGAAAUCGUAGCGCUCAACGCUACGGCGUGCAGUGGCGACUGCUCGUCUUGAGACCGGGAGGGGCUGGAGGUAUGCCAUGGGGACCGGUAAAAUGGGAUAAUCCAUGGUAGACCACCAAUGGCGAAGGCAUCCAGCCAGAACGGAUCUGACGGUGAGGGACGAAAGCCAGGGGAGCGAACCGGAUUAGAUACCCGAGUAGUCCUGGCCGUAAACGCUGUGAGCUAGGUGUAGCCCAUCCCACGUGGAUGGGCUGUGUCGAAACGAAGGUGCUAAGCUCACCGCCUGGGAAGUACGGUCGCAAGACUG
rnacentral:rRNA from 1 species